AUAUUGGACAAUGGGCGAAAGCCUGAUCCAGCAAUGCCGCGCGAGUGAUGAAGGCCUUAGGGUUGUUAUGCUCUCUUAUCAGUGAUGAUAAUGACAGUACCCUGUGAAUAAGCCCCGGUCAACUUCGUGCCAUCAGCCCCGGUAAUACGGUGGGAGCUAUCGUUGUUCGGAAAUACUGGGCGUAAAGCGCACGUAGGCGGCAUCGUAAGUCCGGGGUGAAAUCCCGGGGCUCAACCCCGGAACUGCCCUUGAAACUGCAGUGCUAGAAUCUUGGAGAGGCGAGUGGAAUUCCGAGUGUAGAGGUGAAAUUCGUAGAUAUUCGGAAGAACACCAGUGGCGAAGGCGACUCGCUGGACAAGUAUUGACGCUGAGGUGCGAAAGCGUGGGGAGCAAAC
rnacentral:rRNA from 1 species